GACGAACGCUGGCGGCGUGCCUAAUACAUGCAAGUCGAGCGCAGGAAGCCGUCUGAACCCUUCGGGGGGACGACGGUGGAAUGAGCGGCGGACGGGUGAGUAACACGUAAAGAACCUGCCCAUAGGUCUGGGAUAACCACGAGAAAUCGGGGCUAAUACCGGAUGUGUCAGCGGACCGCAUGGUCCGCUGAUGAAAGGCGCUCCGGCGUCGCCCAUGGAUGGCUUUGCGGUGCAUUAGCUAGUUGGUGGGGUAACGGCCCACCAAGGCGACGAUGCAUAGCCGACCUGAGAGGGUGAUCGGCCACACUGGGACUGAGACACGGCCCAGACUCCUACGGGAGGCAGCAGUAGGGAAUCUUCCACAAUGGACGAAAGUCUGAUGGAGCAACGCCGCGUGAACGAUGAAGGCUUUCGGGUCGUAAAGUUCUGUUGUAAGGGAAGAACAAGUGCCGCAGGCAAUGGCGGCACCUUGACGGUACCUUGCGAGAAAGCCACGGCUAACUACGUGCCAGCCGCCGCCGUAA
rnacentral:rRNA from 1 species